GUCCCAGGAGGCCAGGCGGGACACCACAUGACAUUUAGUUGGCAUGUCUCCUUGGGCUCUUCUUGGCUGUGACAGUUUCUCAGACUUCCCU